AGCUCCAAUAGCGUAUAUUAAAGUUGUUGCAGUUAAAAAGCUCGUAGUUGAACCUUGGCCGUGGCUGGCCAGUAGACCUUUUGGUCUCACUGGUUGGCUUGGCCUUUUCGAGGGACUUGCGGCGCAAGCCGCAAGGCAACUCGUGCUACUGUGAAGAAAUCAGAGUGUUUAAAGCAGGCGUACGCUUGAAUACAUCAGCAUGGAAUAGCUUGAAGGACUUGGGCCUUCUUGUUGGUUGGGGCUUUGGGUAAUGAUUAAUAGGGCCAGUUGGGGGCAUUAGUAUUCAGUAGUCAGAGGUGAAAUUCUUGGAUUUACUGAAGACUAACUAGUGCGAAAGCAUUUGCCAAGGAUGUUUUCA
rnacentral:rRNA from 1 species